rnacentral:rRNA from 1 species
UACGGAGGAGGCAAGCGUUAUCCGGAAUUAUUGGGCGUAAAGCGUCCGCAGGUGGCACUUCAAGUCUGUCGUCAAAGACUGGGGCUUAACCCUGGAAAGGCGGUGGAAACUGAAGCGCUAGAGUGCGGUAGGGGUAGAGGGAAUUCCCGGUGUAGCGGUGAAAUGCGUAGAGAUCGGGAAGAACAUCGGUGGCGAAAGCGCUCUACUGGACCGCAACUGACACUCAGGGACGAAAGCUGGGGGAGCGAAUGGG